CGGCGCGGUGGCUCACUCACGCCUGUAAUCCCAGCACUUUGGGACGCCGAGGCGGGCGGAUCGCGAGGUCAGGAGAUCUAGACCAUCCUGGCUAACAUGAACAUUUCCAUUGAAAAUGUCUACAUGGACCUCUGUUUAAAUGAGAAAGAUUUUUAUAUGACUGCAUAUGACAUGCAUCAAUUUUUUUAAAAUUACAAGGCCAAACUUUGAUUCUGUUGUUGAGGCAGACUUCACGCUGAGCACUGCAUUUGAUUCAUACCACUGAGACAAUCAUAGUUGAUUCCCUUCAUUUCCUCAUGAUCCAAGGACUCAAUACCACAACCUCUUCAUAAGACUCUCUCCCUACACUUGCUCAACCACUGUGCCCCAAAGCCAUCUACCAAUUCAAUGCAAACCCAUUCAAUAUCCUAAUGGAAUUUUUUACAGAAAUAGAAAAAGAAAUUCUAAAACGUAUAUGAAACCAGAAAAGAUCUCAAAUAGCCAAAGCAAUCUUGAGAAAGAUGAACAAAACUGGAGGUCCCACACUUCCGGAUUUCAAAACGAAUGACAUAGCUACAGUAAAUUAAAAUCAGAUGGUCCUGGCAAAAGACAGGCAUACAGAUUGAUGGAACAGAAUAAGGAGCGCGGUCAUAAACACAAUUUAUAAGGUCAACUGAUCUUUCACAAGGCUGUGUAAAAUACACGCUACGAAAGGAUAGACUUUUCAACAAAUGAUACUGGGAAAAGUGCAUAUUGUGGUGUGAAAGAAUGAAAUUAGAAUCUUUUCUUACACAAUAUACAAAAAUUAGCUCAAAAUGGAUUAAACACUUAAGUCUAACACCUGAAACUAUAAAGCUACAAGAAGAAAACAUAAAGAAAAAGGCUUCAUGAAGUUUGUCUUGGAAAAGAUUUCUUGGAUUAUCUGAAACACAUAGGCACCAAAAACUAAAGUAGAGAGGUGGGAUAACAUCAAACUGAAAUACUUCAUUACUGCAAAGGAAACAAUCAACAAAACAAAAGGGCAACCUACAGAAUGAGAAAAAGUAUUUUUAAAUUACAUAUCUGAUAAAAGGUUAAUAUCCAAAGUACAUUUAAAAAGUCUUUUCCAAUUUGAUAACAAAAACCAAAUUUCCAAGUUAAAAAUUUUCAAAGGACUCAAAUAGACAUUUCUCUAAAGAAAGCAUACAAAUGACCAAUAAGUAUAUUAAAAAGAUGAUUUAACAUCACUAGUCAUUGGGAAAAUAAAAAUCAAAAUUACAAUGAAGCAUCACCUCAUACCUGUUAGGAUAACUUUAUCAAAAACUAAAAAAAACAAGGCUUGCCUAGUAGGCAAAUUGAAACUUUUGUGCACUUUUGAUGAGAAUGUAAAAUGGUACAUGAUGAAAACAAUAUGGAAUUUUCUCUAAAAAUUGAAAUAGAACUACCAUAAAAUCUAGUAAUUUCACUUCUAGGUAUUUAUCCAAAAGAAUCGAAAUCAGGAUCUCAAAGAUAUUUGUAAUUCCAUGUUCAUUGCAGCAUUCACAAGAGAUAUGGUUUGGCUCUGUGUCCCCACCCAAAUCUCACAUAGAAUUGCAAUCCCCAAUGUGGAGAAGGACCUGACAGGAGUUGAUUAAAUCAUGGGGUGGUUUCCCCCUUGUGGUUCUUGUGAUAGUGAGUGAGUUCUCACAAGACCUGAUUGUUAGAAAGUAUGUAGCACUUCCCCCUUUUCUCUUUCUCUCUCUCCUGCUCCACCAUGUGAGGACAUGGUGUUUACUUCCCCUUAGCCUUCCACCACUGAUUGUAAGUUUUCUGAGGCUUCCCCAGCCAUGCUGCCUGUACAACCUACAGAGCUGUGAGUCAAUGAAGCCAAUUUUCUUUAUAAAUUAUCCAGUCUUGGUAGUUCUUUACAGUAACGUGAGAAUGGACUAAUACAACAAGAUUCAAGGUAAGGAAGUACACUUAGUGCCUGUCAGUGGAUGAAUGGAAAUAGAAAAUAUGCUAUAUACAACAAUGAAAUCUCAUUCAGUCUUAAAAUUAAAAAAAAGGAAAUCCCGUCAUAUGGGACAACAUGGAAGAAACUUGAAGACAUUAUACUAAGUGAAAUGAGCCAGUCACAGAAGGGCAAACACUGCAUGAUUUUACUUAGGCAAGUUAUCUAAAGUAAUCAAACACAUGGAAACAAAAAGUAGAAUGAUGAUUGCCAGUGGCUGGAGCAAAUGGGUAGCUGCUGUUCAGUGAGUAUAAAGUUUCAAUCAUGCAAGAUGCAGAAAUUCACUUGAUCUGUUGUACAGCACUGUGCUUCUAGUUAAAAAUACUGUAUUAUAUACCUAGAAAAGCAUUUGGAAGUAAAUAUCAUGUCAUGUGUUUAUUUUUACUACAAUAUAAAAUAGCUUUUAAAGAGAAUUUGUGUUAUUAUUGUUAUUACUAAGUUUAUACAUUACUUUAAUUAAAAAGUCACUUGAAUCAAGGUUAAUAAAGUGGUUUGUGGAUACAUAGUCUUCUCCUGUGGAUAAGGGAUAGCCUUGCCUUCUCCUGCUGAUCAUGGUCCCUGACAACCUCCUUCUAGGUCAGUAUUGGCUCACGCUAGUCUCCCCAGUGGGCCUCCCUAGGACAUUUCAGUAUCAUCACAUUUACUACAGAAAAGUCUUUUUUGAGUAAAGUCACUUCUCAGUCUGUAUCGCUAAACAGCCUAUUAAUGUUUGUGAACCUCAGUUUGUUUCAUCUGUAAUGAUAACAGCUCUCCUAUUCACCUCACGAAGAUACUAUGAAAAUAGAAAAUAAAAGAUCACAUGAAGAAAAGUUCUUUGAAAACAAUACACAAAGAUAUGGUGCUAUUAUUUUUAAGAAAAUGGCUAAAAUGUCUCUGAGUUUCAAAGGAAUUAUUCUAUCAGAAAAGAAAUAUACAUGGUGGAAAUUUAAAAUAGAGUUUUUGUGAUACGUAAAUUACUGUGGUAUUAAGCCACUCAAAUGAGGGCUACCAUGGAGCUUAUCUUUACAGUGCUGCAGUGUUCUGACAUGUUUCCUUGGCAUAAAUCAAUGUAUAGGCUACCAUAUAUUGAUGAAUCAGCUCUUUUGCAACUACUGAAAAAACAAUUCAUUGUCCACACAUUUCUCUAUCUCUGACACAAAUCAAAAUGUGUUACCUUCCAGGAACAGUUGAGUUUGUCAGCUUAUCAUCUUACUAACUUCCAAGAACAAAAUAUGAGUUUGUAAGUUGUGAUUCAUCAGAAACAGUAUUUCUAAGUUUUGUUAGUGAUUGCUCUUACAUUCGUGUAUUGACUUAAAGAAAAUUUAAGAAACAUAUAAGAUCUUAGAAAAUAAAUGUUGAAGACAUUUUAAGGAUUGAUAGGACACAGCAGUUUUUUUCCCCUAGACUCUCAGUGCAAUCAUAAUACACUCUUUUCAGGAUGUUUGCCAAGCUAUGACUUAUGAACUCUUUGUUUAGAAUUGAUCUUCUAUAAAGGAAGAGGUCAGCAGUUAGGUUUGAAAACAAUCACCUGGCCAUAGUUGACUGGGCUAAGAGUAUACUCUUGAGAAAUGAGAACACAAUAAGGUACUCAAUCCUAAACAUCUGGAUUUUGGAUUCAGAAACAGUUCCUAUAAGUAGCUUAAAGCAUAUGUGAUAUAAAAAUGAAGUACCUGUUGAUCAGCCUUGCUCCAUUAUGUAGAAAAGGUUGAUUGAGACAGAGAGAAUGAGAGAAAGAUAGAACUAGCUAUAGUUUCAAGAAAAAUAAGAAAAAAAAUAUAGACCCAAUAUAAAUGAAAAAAUAUCCCCCAAAAUAUAUCUAUAUCUUUAUCAAUUUUUUCAGUUAUUUCCAGUUUGUUUCUGAUAUCUGGCUAAUUUCUGCCCCUAGGUUACAUGCUAUUAGAAAACAUACAUUAAUUUUACACAAUUUGCUUUUUAUCUAAACUUACGUUCUAUUACAAGCAAUUGACAAAAAUUUCCUAUUAAUAUGCUGCAUGAAUCCAAUUCUUGUUAAGCAAUAAAGAAACAAUAUACUAUGCACCAGAGAUGCUGGGUGAGAUUUAUAAUGAUUUGGUCCCUUAAGUUCCUUUAUCCAAAGAAAUGUGAGUUGAUUUGACAUGUACCUCUUAUGAUCAGAAGCUUAAAGAGACAUCAGGCGAUUGGAAACUUACUAUUUCUUUGUUGUUAUCUAUAAAACCAAGAUAAACCAAGUAGGCGGAGCUCCUUCAACUUUGGUCCCAGAUAAGGAGAGCCAGAGAUUACUCAUGAAGAACAUAAAAUAAGAGUUAAAGCAAACAAGCAAUCACCAAACAAAUAAAACUUCUACUGAUGCAAGCCACUGAUAUUACGAAGUUAUUUUUAUUUCAACAUAAGAUAUGCAAAGCAUACUGAUAGAGAAGUAAAAUACUGAUAAUAGGUUACAGAAUGGGAUAAUGUUUGAAGAAUUAUAUAGGUCUCUAAAAUUGGGCACUACAUAACAAAUAUGAUUGUUUUGGAUGAAUCGGUGAAAGUACAGGGAAAAAUGAUUUGUUAGAUGGGUAUUUAGAAAAGACAUGAAUAUAGACAGCUAGUCUUGGUG
rnacentral:lncRNA from 1 species